UACGGAGGGAGCUAGCGUUGUUCGGAAUUACUGGGCGUAAAGCGCACGUAGGCGGCUUUGCAAGUUAGAGGUGAAAGCCCGGGGCUCAACUCCGGAAUUGCCUUUAAAACUGCAUCGCUAGAAUUGUGGAGAGGUAAGUGGAAUUCCGAGUGUAGAGGUGAAAUUCGUAGAUAUUCGGAAGAACACCAGUGGCGAAGGCGACUUACUGGACACAUAUUGACGCUGAGGUGACGAAAGCGUGGGGACAAACAGG
rnacentral:rRNA from 1 species